AUUGAACGCUGGCGGCAUGCCUUACACAUGCAAGUCGAACGGUAACAGGUCUUCGGAUGCUGACGAGUGGCGAACGGGUGAGUAAUACAUCGGAACGUGCCCGAGAGUGGGGGAUAACGAGGCGAAAGCUUUGCUAAUAUCGCAUACGAUCUCAGGAUGAAAGCAGGGGACCGCAAGGCCUUGCGCUCACGGAGCGGCCGAUGGCAGAUUAGGCAGUUGGUGGGAUAAGAGCUUACCAAGCCGACGAUCUGUAGCUGGUCUGAGAGGACGACCAGCCACACUGGGACUGAGACACGGCCCAGACUCCUACGGGAGGCAGCAGUGGGGAAUUUUGGACAAUGGGCGCAAGCCUGAUCCAGCCAUGCCGCGUGCAGGAUGAAGGCCUUCGGGUUGUAAACUGCUUUUGUACGGAACGAAAAGACUCCUUCUAAUAAAGGGGGUCCAUGACGGUACCGUAAGAAUAAGCACCGGCUAACUACGUGCCAGCCGCCGCGGUAA
rnacentral:rRNA from 1 species